GUCACUUAUUAACUUGUUCCUAGAUAACCUUUUGAAAAAGACAUUUUUCAUUUGCUAGAGGGGAUUGCAAGCUUUUAGAGUUCCACAGUUUUAGGAAUAUGCUUUUUUUUGACGAUGCUGAUAAGUAUAUAACUGUAACGGGUUCUGUACAGUGCAUACAAAUGUAAUGCACGAUUAUUUCUGUGUAUAUAUAUUUUUUCUAUUGCUCCUUUUCUUUAGAGCUAAAUAGACUUGUUAUUCUGUUUCCUGCAGAGAGAUGAAGAAUGUGCAUUUCUCCAUCAAAGAGCUUUAUGAAGUAAACAGGGACAACAGCAAAUGGAAAAAAAGAGCAUUUCCUUUUCUAAGGAUGUGCAAGGCAGUAGAAGCACUGAUUUUUUUUAUUAUUUGUUUUUACACUAAAGUUUUGGCACUCAAAAAAAAAAAGACAUUUGCCUCAAAAGCAGACAAUGUAGCAGUGUGCAAAUGGAGUUUCCUUUUUGCUUUUGUCUUUACUACCUAUGUAUAUAAUUAUAUGUAGCAUAUUAAAAUAUAACAUUAUGAUGAGAAAAACCAUAUAGUGUGAAUGACUUGAAGAAUUGCUGUGCAGUUUUCAAAACAACCCCCAAUCAUACUCCCAGGUUAAAAAAAAAAAAAAAAGAUGUUUUAUUAACUUCAAUAUUGUCAGGGUUUAAAACACUGACAAGUUAUCCAUUUCAAAAAUAAUCACAAAGGACCGAGGUCCUCCAUUAAAAAGCUCCCAUAGAAAAACGUUCACAGUUUAAACAGAACUGGUGUCCAACCAUUUGAGACACCAGGAGAAAUUUUUUUUUGUAUUAUUGGUGAUACUAUAGAAGUGUGUAUGGUACUUAAUUAUGUGAAGUUUAUUUAAAAAUCUGCCAAAGUUGCAACACAUUCAGGCAGGGAUAUUCUUUUUUAGGGUGUGGUUUUAUGGUUUUGACAGUGUUUCACAGUAUUAUUAUAUCCCUGGGUUAUUCCACUAGUUUCUUUUCUCCCUAGAUUAUGUUUUGAAUUUUUUUUCUUUAUGAAUGACAAAACCUACUGAGUAAAUAAUAAUUUUAAAAAGGAAACUGAAAUUAACAGCAAAUUUUCUUCAGUAACGUUUCGUGUAUUUUUUUUUUUCUUGCACCGUUGUAUAACAAAUUUUUAGAUUAUAUUUUUUUAAACACUGGUCCAUAUUUGUUUUUGGGUUGUUUUUAAGUCCCUAAAUCUAGUCAUUUGCAGUCACACAUGGUAUUCAUGUUGAACAUGAUGUUCCACUAUCCACCCCAAAAAUAAAACAAAAACUAGACGUUACACUGCAUGUGUAAAAUUCUGAAGUGUACCUGUGUAUAUUGCUUUGUAAAAACACUGAGGAAAUUAUACUAACUUAUUUAUGUUAAGCUUUUUUGUUGUUGUUGUUCAUGACUAUCCAAAGUGGCAUUUGUGUUUUGUUUUUUUUUAACUACCUUUUUUUUUCUUUUUUCUUUUUUUUUACCGAAAAGUUUAUUUUCAAAUUUUUUAAAGAAUUUGUGCAAGGUUGCAAACUGAGCCUAUGUUAAAUUUUGAUGUGGAUUUUGUAUUGCUUGUUUAAAGAGAUCAUUAAUAAAAAAAAUAAAA
ensembl:lncRNA